UACGUAGGGUGCAAGCGUUGUCCGGAAUUAUUGGGCGUAAAGCGCACGUAGGCGGUCCGUUAAGUCGGAUGUGAAAGCCCCCGGCUCAACCGGGGAAGUGCAUCCGAAACUGGCAGGCUAGAGUACGAAAGAGGGUCGCGGAAUUCCCGGUGUAGAGGUGAAAUUCGUAGAUAUCGGGAGGAACACCGGUGGCGAAGGCGGCGACCUGGGUCGAUACUGACGCUGAGGUGCGAAAGCGUGGGGAGCAAACAGG
rnacentral:rRNA from 1 species